UACGUAGGGUGCGAGCGUUAAUCGGAAUUACUGGGCGUAAAGCGUGCGCAGGCGGUUUUGUAAGCCAGAUGUGAAAUCCCCGGGCUUAACCUGGGAAUGGCAUUUGGGACUGCAAGGCUUGAGUGCGGCAGAGGAGACUAGAAUUCCUGGUGUAGCAGUGAAAUGCGUAGAUAUCAGGAGGAACACCGGUGGCGAAGGCGGGUCUCUGGGCCGAUACUGACGCUGAGGAGCGAAAGCGUGGGGAGCGAACAGG
rnacentral:rRNA from 1 species